rnacentral:rRNA from 1 species
GAUGAACGCUAGCGGGAGGCCUAACACAUGCAAGCCGAGCGGUAUUGUUUCUUCGGACAUGAGAGAGCGGCGUACGGGUGCGUAACACGUGUGCAACCUGCCUUUAUCUGGGGGAUAGCCUUUCGAAAGGAAGAUUAAUACUCCAUAAUAUAUUGAACGGCAUCGUUUAAUAUUGAAAGCUCCGGCGGAUAGCGAUGGGCACGCGCAAGAUUAGCUAGUUGGUGAGGUAACGGCUCACCAAGGCGAUGAUCUUUAGGGGGCCUGAGAGGGUGAUCCCCCACACUGGUACUGAGACACGGACCAGACUCCUACGGGAGGCAGCAGUGAGGAAUAUUGGUCAAUGGGUGCAAGCCUGAACCAGCCAUCCCGCGUGAAGGACGACUGCCCUAUGGGUUGUAAACUUCUUUUGUAUAGGGAUAAACCUACCCUCGAGAGGGUAGCUGAAGGUACUAUACGAAUAAGCACCGGCUAACUCCGUG